UUAAGUCCGGUAACGAGCGNAACCCUUAUCGUAUGUUGCCAUCAUUAAGUUGGGCACUCGUGCGAGACUGCCGGUGACAAGCCGGAGGAAGGUGGGGACGACGUCAAGUCAUCAUGGCCCUUACGUGUGGGGCUACAAACGUGCUACAAUGGGUAUGACAGUGAGCAGCCACUCCGCGAGGAGGCGCUAAUCUCUAAACGUACUCUCAGUUCGGAUUGUACUCUGCAACUCGAGUGCAUGAAGUUGGAAUCGCUAGUAAUCGCGCAUCAGCAUGUCGCGGUGAAUACGUUCCCGGGUCUU
rnacentral:rRNA from 1 species